rnacentral:lncRNA from 1 species
GUCUUUCUUCUGCUAACCUAGACAGAAAAGGAUGGUAAACAUAAUAUUCAAAAAAUCAUGUGAAAUGGGAAUCGAGAAUGGACUCAUCGGAGGGGUUUUAGGACUUUGACCACGGCAGCUCCGUUGGGCUUUACCGGCAUUUUUCAACUCACUCACUAUCCCUUUUUCUUCGAUUUGGCCAUGGGGGUGCUCAAAAUAAAAUUCGGAGCGGGUAGGAAAUUUUUUUACCUUUUUUGGCAGUCAGCGGUGGCUCCGGUAUGGCGGCAGUCGACCUCCUUCUCCGAUGGGGGCUCGCGGCUAGGAUUUGAGUUUCUGUGUAAUGUGAAGUAUUUAUAUCCAUCCUGCUUUGAUCUAGACCAUCUAUCGCGAUCGAUCUCGUCCGUCUGAUCGCGUAUAAGGAGGAAAUGAAUCUAGGUCAUCCAUCGCAAUUUUAUCUCGACUGUCCGAUCGCGUUUAAAGAAAAAAUAAAUCUAGAUUAUCCAUCGUGAUUUGAUCUCGAUCGUCCAUCACGAUUUGAUCUCGAUCGUCCGAUCGCAUGGGAUCGAUCCUAGACCGUCUAAUCGCGGGGCAU